ACUCCUACGGGAGGCAGCAGUGGGAAUCUUGCGCAAUGGGCGAAAGCCUGACGCAGCAACGCCGCGUGAGUGAUGAAGGCCUUCGGGUCGUAAAGCUCUGUCAGGAGGGAAGAAUAAAUGACGGUACCUCCAAAGGAAGCACCGGCUAACUCCGUGCCAGCAGCCGCGGUAAUACGGAGGGUGCAAACGUUAAUCGGAGUUAUUGGGCGUAAAGGGUGCGUAGGUUGUUAUUUAAGUCAUGUGGGAAAUACCUGGGCUCAACCUGGGAAUGACGGAUGAUACUGAAUGACUAGAGUAUAGUAGAGGGUAGUGGAAUUUCCGGUGUAGCGGUGAAAUGCGUAGAGAUCGGAAGGAACACCAGUGGCGAAGGCGGCUACCUGGACUAAUACUGACACUGAGGCACGAAAGCGUGGGUAGCAAACAGGAUUAGAUACCCUGGUAGGUC
rnacentral:rRNA from 1 species